rnacentral:rRNA from 1 species
GACGAACGCUGGCGGCGUGCUUAACACAUGCAAGUCGAACGGUGAAGCGCCUUCCUUUUUGGUGGGUGUGGAUGAGUGGCGAACGGGUGAGUAACACGUGAGUAACCUGCCCCCUUCUUCUGGAUAACCGCAUGAAAGUGUGGCUAAUACGGGAUAUUCUGGGUCUGUCGCAUGAUGGGUCUGGGAAAGAUAUUGUUUCGGUGGGGGAUGGGCUCGCGGCCUAUCAGCUUGUUGGUGGGGUGAUGGCCUACCAAGGCGGUGACGGGUAGCCGGCCUGAGAGGGUGGACGGUCACACUGGGACUGAGACACGGCCCAGACUCCUACGGGAGGCAGCAGUGGGGAAUAUUGCUCAAUGGGCGCAAGCCUGAUGCAGCGACGCCGCGUGAGGGAUGGAGGCCUUCGGGUUGUGAACCUCUUUCGCCAGUGAAGCAGGCCUGCCUCGUUUGUGGGUGGGUUGACGGUAGCUGAAUAAGAAGCGCCGGCUAACUACGUG